rnacentral:rRNA from 1 species
UAGUCAUAUGCUUGUCUCAAAGAUUAAGCCAUGCAUGUCUAAGUAUAAACCACUUUAUACGGUGAAACUGCGAAUGGCUCAUUACAUCAGCUAUAGUUUAUUUGAUAUUAUCUUACUACUUGGAUAACCGUAGUAAUUCUAGAGCUAAUACAUGCAAAAAAAUCCCGACUUCUGGAAGGGAUGUAUUUAUUAGAUACAAAACCAACUCAGGGCAACCUGGUCACUGGUGAUUCAUAAUAACUUUGCGAAUCGUAUGGCUUUACGCUGACGAUGCAUC